CUUUACUGUAGCCUGGUAUUGGGUUCGGGCUUGGCUUGCGCAGGAUAGGUGGGAGGCUAUGAGACAUUCCUUGUGGGGAGUGUGGAGCCAACAGUGAGAUACCACUCUAGCCAGGCUAGAAUUCUAACCGCUAGCCAUUAUCUGGCAGUGGAACCGUAUCAGGUGGGCAGUUUGACUGGGGCGGUCGCCUCCUAAAAGGUAACGGAGGCGCACAAAGGUUUCCUCAGGCUGGUUGGAAAUCAGCCGGAGAGUGUAAAGGCACAAGGAAGCUUGACUGCAAGAGGGACAACUCAAGCAGGGUGGAAACACGGUCUUAGUGAUCCGACGGCACUGCGUGGAAGGGCCGUCGCUCAACGGAUAAAAGUUA
rnacentral:rRNA from 1 species